rnacentral:lncRNA from 1 species
UAUAAAAAUGGCAUUGUCCUGUAUUUUUAAACACUUUUUCACUUAACAGUAUAUUGAAAACAUCAUUUAAUUCAUUGAAAAUUCUUUCAUUAUUAAUGGCUGCAUAGUAUUCUUUUGUUGGAUAUUUAAUAGGAUUGUCUUGUUUUUUUGGAUUACAAAGACUGACCCUGAAAUGAACUUUUUUAUACUUUCUUAUAGCCUGAAGUUUGCCUCUAUCAGUUAAUACUAUGCUUUGACAAAUUCCAUGAAGAGCAUGAUUUGCAAGAGGAACUGCUACACAUUUUACACUUAUUUACUCCAACCUUUCCUGCUAAUUCCAGGUUUAUUGUAAAACCACUGAUCCCUUCAUUUGAGCUCGACUUCCCUGCACUUAGUUUUGAAUUUUUCCCCUGUCCAAUAGUAAGGUAAGUAGUGUAUAGCUCUUCUAAUGUGUUUUAGUUUUUUGAAUGAUCAAACCACUGCAUGAUAUGUUGUUCAAUACUUGAAAAGUGUUUCUUCAUAGAUUUUGUUCAGUUUUAUAAAUUUUUAUAGCAUAAGUGAGACACUCAUUGAUUCAGUAUGGCCGAAACCUUAAUUUCAAGUAAUAAUUUUUCAAGCAUUUAUUAUAUGAAAAUGUUUUUUAUCAGUGUGUUAAAAACACAAAUAAAUUUCCUAGUCCCUACAACAUAUAAAUUAUGGAUUGUUUUCCCAAUGGUACAGUUAAAAAACUUGAGUGUCUAUGGGCUUAAACUAUCUAAGGUAAUACAAGGUAAGUGGUUACUAAGUGUUGAGCUGUGUUUUAAAUUCAGGUCUGUCAGACACCAAAAUCUAUUCUUUUAAAAUUUAAGCUUAUUGUUUGGGAAUAGUUUAUAGCCUACCUGUUUGUUUAAUGAAAUCUUCAAACAUGCCUAAUAGGUAUGUUGUAUUUAAAACAAAUACUAUCAGAGCUGUGCAACCUGUGCUUGAAGUAAAAAUGCAGAGCACAGAGCCACAUAUAUGCUGACUCUGCCAAACCCUCACCAUUCUACUCCUGGGUGAUGGAAAAUUAGCUCUGCAUGACUCCUAGUCAUCUUUUCAAUACAGUUUGAAACCAUUGCACUAUAUUAUGUGGCUUAUGAGGAAUCAUUGAAGCUACUGUGGAUAUUUUAUCUGUAGAAGACAGAGUUAAAUGAAGAUGCAAUAGCUGCUUAAAUAAGUUUUUAAAAGCCAAGGAGAGGAUGAUUACUUGGGGGACAGAUUUUGAGGGCAUGCAGUUGUGAGGUAGAGUUUAUGUCAAGCUGCAGAGCAUGAAUCUGGAUGUAAUAUAAGAUGCAGGUACUGAGUUGAUUUAAAAAUCAUGUAGCUAUUAAAUAUUCUUUCCACCCACAGACACACACACAGAGAAGAACAACAAGAACAAGAAGAGAAUUGCAAUGAUGUGAAAACACGAUAACACAUGUAGAGCAGAGCACUGUGCACCAGUUACUAAUGCCAGAAGAGGACUCUCACUAUAUGGAGGGUAAUGAAGAUCAUCACAAUACCAGCCACCAGGAAUAGAAGUCCAGAUACUUCUGCCCACUGUCUGUUAGUAUUGGAGUCACCAAAAAAUCACAAGUCAAGUACUUGGUGGAAAAUUACUUUACUCACAAAAAGAUACAGAGCAAGAUCAGUUUCGGUAGUGGACAUCUGUCACCAUGGUCCCUCCUAAAAGACAAUGCAGGGCAACUGGCCUAUGAGCACCCAACUAGUGCUACACUAGAAGGACUCUGACACCUCCUCCAUGAAGUAUGAAAUAUCAAAAACUAGGGGCAUGCCUGAGCGCCAUUGAAACACAGUGCUUAAGCAGAACAAAGACGUAAAGACGUACUCAUUGAGUCUGAAACAGAGAAAGAUACUUUCUCACUAAAUCUAAACCUGGGAUAGGUACUGCCUUUCCCAAUACAACAGAUUUUAGUAAAUCCUCCAAAUUUGUUUGACUUUGUUCCAUUUGUUUUGGUAAUUAUCUAUGCUGUCCCUUUCUAUAUACAAUUAGCAUAAGCUAGUCAAUACAACAAAAAUAUAUACAGCAAAUUAGAUUGGGUUUGCAUCAUUCUAUAGAUUAGGAGAAUAUUGAACAUUAUAAAAAUAGUGAAUAUUCCAAUUCAUGAACUCAAUAUAUUUAUUCAUUUACUAAGACAUUCUUGAUUUCUUAUUCAGCAUUCGUAGGUAACAUGCAAAUCCUGUAUCUAUUUUUGUUAACUUUGUACCUACAUAUUUUGUUUUUCCUGAUGCUAUUGUAACUAUUACUUUAAAAUUUAAUUUCCAUGUGCCUAUAGUCCCAACUUCUUGGGAGACUGAGGCAAAAGACUCAGUUGGGCCCAGGAGGGAGUUUGAGUCUAGUCUGGGCAACACAGAACCCCACCUCUAAAAAUUAAAUUAAGUUAAAAUUAAAAAAAAAAAUUUCCAUUUGUUCAUGCCCAUUAUGCAAAUAUGUAAUUGACCUAGUACCCUGGAACAUUCCAAAAUUAUUUUACUAAAUCUGGAGAUUUUGUUAUAGAUCUAAAGACUGUGAAUUCAUAUGCAAAUAUGUUGCUUAUAUAAAUAGACUUAUUUUACCAUUUUUA